AUUGAACGCUAGCGGCAGGCCUAACACAUGCAAGUCGAACGAGUGGCGGACGGGUGAGUAAUAUAUCGGAAAGUGCCCAGUAGCGGGGGAUAACUACUCGAAAGAGUGGCUAAUACCGCAUACUAUUGGAGCGGCCGAUAUGGGAUUAGCUAGUUGGUGGGGUAAAGGCGCACCAAGGCGACGAUCCCUAGCUGGUCUGAGAGGAUGAUCAGCCACACUGGGACUGAGACACGGCCCAGACUCCUACGGGAGGCAGCAGUGGGGAAUAUUGCACAAUGGGCGCAAGCCUGAUGCAGCCAUGCCGCGUGUAUGAAGAAGGCCUUCGGGUUGUAAAGUACUUUCAGUCAGGAGGCGUUACCGGCAGAAGAAGCACCGGCUAACUCCGUGCCAGCAGCCGCGGUAAUUC
rnacentral:rRNA from 1 species